rnacentral:rRNA from 1 species
UAGUCCACGCUGUAAACGAUGAGUGCAAGGUGUUGGGUGUCAAAACUCAGUGCCGCCGUUAACACAGUAAGCACUCCGCCUGGGGAGUACGUACGCAAGUAUGAAACUCAAAGGAAUUGACGGGGACCCGCACAAGUAGCGGAGCAUGUGGUUUAAUUCGAUGCAACGCGAAGAACCUUACCAGGGCUUGACAUGAAACUGCAAAGGGUUAGAGAUAAUCCUCUUCUCUUCGGAGACGGUUUCAC